rnacentral:lncRNA from 1 species
AGAUUUUACCUUUGAACUAUGAAAUGCUGAUCAGUUAUCUGCAGUUAGAAAUCCACCUGACCAAGCGUAAGAUUCAGAGACUGAGAAAACACAAGCUGAAGAAGUUUAGGGAAAAAAAUAUGCCAGAUGAAACAAGGGAAUCAAGCUUGUGGAAUAUUAUCUGUGAUAAUUUAAUACAAGCUCUUCAAAUGUAAGAUAAAGCAGUCAAUCUAGGAAGUUAAUUGGAUGACAACCUAAACUUUGGUGGCCGAAGUAGAAAAUGAGCAUGGAACGUGACCAUGGAAGACACAUUCAAAAUGGUAGUUGUAGGUGAUUGUGCUACAAAGUAUAUUCUUCCCAUUCUUCCUACAUUUUGUAAUUUUACAGCUGAAUAGCAGAGUUUUUAUUUUUAUGCAGUGAUCUGAAUCUGAGACUGGAACUUCUGAGUUCAAAGCCUUUCCCAUUGUAUUAAUCCAGUAUUUUCAGUUAAAGGCAACGUCGCAAAUAUAUCUGACGCCAUUAUAACUGUUGAAUCUCCGUGAGAAUGUUGUUCAGGUGACGGAAACGGGUAGACAAAAGAUGAAAUAUGAUAAUGGUCAGAAGCUGAACAUAUUAAGCCAAGCAUGCCACGUCAACUGGAGUUGCGAAAGGCAGUGGAACGAUGCUCAUAAGGUGACGGAGAACAGGAUGACUGUGCACUUGUACAGUACGAUGAGUAACUAGUUUACGAGAAUGAUUAGAUGACAGUAAAUUUGUUGCGAUGAAGCUUCACGAUUUCCAACUACUCAACACAUGCUGCGAUGGAAGACCACACUGAGGGGAAGAAAGCUCUCCAUCAGUGAGAGGUGAUUGGGACUAGGUGGAAUAACUGACGUCAACAGUCGCGUCGGCAUCCUUGUUUCUUCUUUCGUUCCAGCACAUUUCUAUGUCGGUAAAACGUUGGGUGUAUCAAUGGAAAAAUAAAAAAUGUCGAACUGAA